rnacentral:lncRNA from 1 species
ACCUCUGUUAGGGACUGUGUGGGGUGUAGCAGAAAGGAUGCAGACUACUGGCUCUCAGAGGAUUGCUACCUGGUGAGAGUGGACACACAAGAGAGCCUGAGAGCUUUAACUGAGAGUUGAAGUUAUUCUGGAGGAGGAAGAAGGUGGUGUGACCAACCCAUGAGGGUUUGCAUCGGGGGACAAAUGUUGAGUGCAGCAUUUGAAUGGCACGCCGUCUUCUCCAGACAGGCAAGAAGAAAGAGGGCUUUGUAGCUAGAGGAAGAGCAUGCGCAAUGGCAAGGGAGACGCAAAGGCUCAGUGUUUGCCCAGAGUGAGCUGCUUUUGGAGUGGUCAUGAAUUAAAAUGGAUAUCCAACUGUUCCAUGAGGCAACGAAUGGGGAUUUUACAUAUUAGAUCAGCAUUGUCUGCUGGAGCUCUCUGCUACCUGGGAAGGCUCUGCAUUUGGGCUGUCAAAGCCACAAGCUCAGACAAUGAAGAUGGCAAACUGAAGUCUUCCUCUAUAGGCACAACUUUGCAUCAGACAUUUGAUGGGAGAGGUCCAUCUUUGAAGGGAAGUUUUAUUUAAGUCUGUCCCUGGAUCCACAUCAUCCGUACGUCUGUCUACAGGGCAAAAAACUUCAUCUUUCAUGAGUGCAAUUUCAAACUUGGUGCCAACGAGAGACAUCUUCCCUGGACUCAAAUGCGCGAAGCCUGAACAGGACAUCUUGAGUGUUAGCUUCUCUGGGAUGGCUGCGGUGUGCAGCACAUUUUUGUUAAGGUGUUAUUCAAAGUUUCUGAUUAACAUAAGUUUUUCUUAAAAUUAUACAAAAACAUAAUACCAUGAUUAUGGAAAUAAAAAGCCA